UGGGCAACCUGCCCCUCUCUCUGGGAUAACCCCGGGAAACCGGAGCUAAUACCGGAUACUCCGGCUGGAUCGCAUGGUCCGGCCGGGAAAGGUCCGCCGGAGAGGGAUGGGCCCGCGGCCUAUCAGCUUGUUGGUGGGGUAACGGCUCACCAAGGCAACGAUGCGUAGCCGACCUGAGAGGGUGAUCGGCCACAUUGGAACUGAGACACGGUCCAGACUCCUACGGGAGGCA
rnacentral:rRNA from 1 species